GAUACGACACGACACGGACAUAGCGACACGGCAAAUCCAAAAAAAUUAGAACACGGACACAGCGAAUAGUAUAUAUAUAUAUAUAUAUAUAUAUAUAUAUAUAUAUAUAUCAGCAUUAAUAAUUUUAAAAAAAAAAACACUGAUAUGUUUAGGUUGGAAUAUAUAUAUAUAUCACUGAUAUGUUAGUAUAUAUAUAUAUCAACAUCUUUAGGACACGGACACGGCGAAUUGUGGCAUCUUUAGGUUAGUAUAUAUAUAUAUCACCAUCUUUAGGGUAGUACAAAACAAAAAAUAGAACAUAUCAGCAUUAAAAAUUUAAAAAAAAAAAAAAAAAGAAAUCCAGAAAAGUGUGUCCGAGCCAUGUCUGAGCCGUGUCCGAGCUGUCCGAGCCGUGUCCGAACUGUCUGAGCCGUGUCUGUGCCGUGUCCAAGCCGUGUCCGAGCCGUGUCC